rnacentral:rRNA from 1 species
GAGGAAUAUUGGUCAAUGGACGGAAGUCUGAACCAGCCAAGUAGCGUGCAGGAUGACGGCCCUAUGGGUUGUAAACUGCUUUUGUAUGGGGAUAAAGUUAGGGACGUGUCCCUAUUUGCAGGUACCAUACGAAUAAGGACCGGCUAAUUCCGUGCCAGCAGCCGCGGUAAUACGGAAGGUCCAGGCGUUAUCCGGAUUUAUUGGGUUUAAAGGGAGCGUAGGCUGGAGAUUAAGUGUGUUGUGAAAUGUAGACGCUCAACGUCUGAAUUGCAGCGCAUACUGGUUUCCUUGAGUACGCACAACGUUGGCGGAAUUCGUCGUGUAGCGGUGAAAUGCUUAGAUAUGACGAAGAACUCCGAUUGCGAAGGCAGCUGACGGGAGCGCAACUGACGCUUAAGCUCGAAGGUGCGGGUAUCAAACAGGAUUAGAUACCCUGGUAGUCCGCACAGUAAACGAUGGAUGUCCGCUGUUGGUACCUGGUAUCAGCGGCUAAGCGAAAGCAUUAAGCAUCCCACCUGGGGAGUACGCCGGCAACGGUG